CUUUAGUGUUCAGUUUAGUAAACUAAAAUGGACACUUACCACGCUGCACAUUGGUCCGAUCUCUCCUACUCCUCCUCGUCAGAAGAAGAGGAGAACCGUGACAGCUCAGGAUCUCCGACUGGGGCAAAGGAUCACAUUUCAACAGGAUGUAGCAUAGCAAUAGAAUACCAACCUAGUUGCAUGUCUCUAUGUGCUUUGGUUGUAUGUGCUUUUUACAGCUCCUCAACAGCAAUAAGUUAAGUUAGCUAAAUCACGUACAGAACUGACCUAAAUAUAGCACAUGUUAAUUUGACCCAGUUUUUCACAGCCGGAAAGUAAUCCUGCAGCAACAGGAAAUGUGAAUUAUUAUGUGGAUUAUAAUUCAUUGACAUUCUUUUGUAGGGUUUCAUACAUAUUUCGUAAGGGCAAAUCAAGUCUGAGAUUUUAAAUAGGAAAUUAAGAACUGUAGUAGCCUUGAAUACACGACAAGUUUCCAUUUCCUGCUAUUCAUAAAAAUUCCUGCAAGAACAGGAUGAUCAAAUUAUGAUACAGCGUCUCCAGGACAAGACUGGUAGCAUACUGACUGGCAGAUAAGAAACCUCAAUGUAAUAACAUACAAGAUCCUGAUGGCAGUUGUAAGUGACUCUUCUGAGACACCAGAACAAGGAAACCAAAGAUAUUUCCACUGUAAACAUGUCAUGUCAAUGCAACAGGUGAGAACAGUGAAAGGUUUCAUGUAAAUCAUGUUGGCACGGCACUUCCUUGUUGUGUUGUAUAAAGAGACCCAUCAUCUGUGUGAACCAUAUCACUUCAUAGGAGACACACUUCUGAUCCUGUGACAUAACAAGAAAGUCAGAGACCUACAAGAUCAACAAGAGAAUGGGUGGAGAUGCAUCAAGAGAUCGAGCGGAUCAGGCAGAGAAAGACUGCGAUCAAGCCAGAACUGAUAAACAGAUAGCGGAGAGGGACAAACGGAAAGCAGAGAUGGACAAACAGAAUGCGGAGAAGGAAAAACAGACCAUGGAGAUGGACAAGAAUAAGACAGAAGAGGCUUACAGGAAGCUCCUAGCUGAGAAAGUGAGAAUGGAAACAGAACAAAAGAUAGAAGAAAACCGAAGACAGGGGCUUGAGAAGGAAAGACUCAAAUUAAUAGAACACAAUAGACAGCGAGAGAGAAAUGAAAAGACAAUAAUUCAGCUGGAAAAUGCAAAAGGAGAUCAGAAAACUGUAUGAAAUGUAUCCACAUAAUAAGAGACAAAGGCAUAAACGGUUAAAUGAUCCACAUAAUGAAUUAUUGGACAAGGCACACAAUCAUUGUAUACCUUUAAUAUCCACAAUUGCGCUGCCUGUUUUAUUUUCCCCAAAUGAUGUUGUUAAAGGGAUAGUUCACACAAAUGACAGUGGUUUAAUAACCCUGUUAGUAAUCUUUGGUUUUGUUUACCUGGCUGCUGCCACCAAAUGCUUUUCAAACCAAUGCCUGUCAAUAUCUGAGAAUCCUCUGUAGCAUUGCAAUAAAUAGAUUCUAUUGAU